AAAGAGACAGAUCUCCCUCACCCUCAGCCGCCUCACAUUCGGUGCUCCUCUUCGGCUCCGACGAAGACCGACAGAAGAGGUUCCGACGACGCGCCUUGGUGAGGCUUCUUUUAUCCCUUUCUUUUUUAAAAAAAAAAGGUAACAAAACCAAUUUAGGUACUUAAAAAAAACCGAAAUGGGAAAGAAAAAGAAAUGGCCUUUCGGCCUUUGUCCCCGGUUGCAACACGAACGAACCCUCGAAGGGCUUUCGUGACCUUGACGAACGGAGGGGACCUCCGUCGACGGCGCACGACCCAACCCCCAGGUACGUUUUAACCCCUUUUCCUCUUUAUACUUAUAAUAAUAUUCGAAAAAGAAAAAAUAAAAAAUAAAAACAGGAGUAGAAACUUGAAGAUAAAAUAGAUUAUCAACCUUUUUUGAUUGACUUUUGCUCUCCUUUUCUAUUCGAUUGAUCUUCUUUUUGUUUUUUUUUUAGAAACUUGAAGAUAAAAGAGAUUAUCAACCUUUUUUGAUUGACUUUUGCUCUCCUUUUCUAUUCGAUUAAUUUUUUUUUUACAAGGUUAUUUUAGUGGCUUUUAUAGCCACGAUUACACUGUUGGUCCAUGUUACUGUUCGCUAUUUUCUUUUCUAUGUUUUGCUUUUGUUUCUGUCUUCUCGUUGCCGUUUCUGUGCUGCUUCUUUUGGUCUUUUUUGCAGGUGUCGGGGGUCAACGGAGAGGAUUGCUAUUUUGGUGUCAAUGGAGGCUGGGCAGGCCUCGGGACGAGGCGUGGACGUUGCGCCCGAGGAGGAGCGACGCAAAGGAGAGGGAACCCUAGGGUUCCCUGUGCUUGCCUAGUCUUUGGGCCCCCUUGGGCCGUUUAGAAUCCGGGCCGUUU
rnacentral:lncRNA from 1 species